rnacentral:lncRNA from 1 species
UAUCAUUAUAGCGAUUACGCCACUAGAAGCACUAGUCAUUGUUGCACACGGACGCUCGAUAGCCGGCGUAAAUUUGUGACGCUUUCACAAAAAUUCGACGAACGGAGAGUGUGUAUGCGUUCCGUUAUAGUGAAAAUAACAACGAUAACUUUAUAUAUAUAUAUAUAUAUAUAUUACGACGGCUAGAUGAACUCGAACAAUUACCAACAGAAACGUACGUACAUGUAGUGCGCGACGUCUGCUGACAUAUAUAAGUACUUAUGGGCGAUAGUGAUGUAAUAUAUAUAUAUCUAUUAAUCUGGUGUAGAAAAGUGCUCGUCGGCCUCUAGCAGCUGCAGACCUAGGAAGGAAGGCUGAAAGUUGAUUAGAUCGUUUUGAAAAAAACAAAACUAUAUUUGUUGCAGUGUUUCUUUGCCGUUUAUAAUCAUCGUUGUAUAAUUAAAGUACAUCGAGGUAUGCAACUCACCAGGGCAGCUAUUAAGCCAACACGAUUUGAUUGCCCACAGUAGAUGCCAGUCGUCAGUCAGGUCCGUUCAUUGGCUACCUGGUCAAGUCAGCCAUUGGCCUUCCCGGACUUAAGUCGGCUGGUCAUUUUUAAUUUCGGCCCUUUUUUCGUGGUCGUUACAUAAGACCGCCCGUUAACGCUGUGUGUCUUUCAAUUCACACACGUAGAUUCCCGUGAGUUCACCAGGUUAAUUGCGGUCCAAUGGUGAGACCCUCAACUGAAUUGUGUGAUAGUACUGACUAACUGGUUCACGGCGUAGGGUCUAGACAGACAGCCAGGGAGAAAACUGUCAAGCCAAGCCUACUGCCGCUCACUGCACGAUAUUGCCAGAGAAAAAAGGUGCAGUGGUUGCUCUCAAAAUAAAGAAAAACGCCGAUAUUUCAACUAUUGUUCUGUCGACUACUGAGUAGUUUGGCAGCUGAGCUGGCCUAUCUGAUGUCUGGACAGAUGUCAACAUGCCAAGCCUAAUGGUAGAAGGUUUUCAAUGGCCGCAUGAUCGCAAGAACGUAAAACGACAUCUCGCGGAAGGCACAUCCAACAUCCAACAAGCGUCAACUAUAUUGCCUAGUAUUUAGCCUUCGAAAAUUGCCCACGACUACCGGCUACUGUUGGGAGUUCGUCCAUAAGCCUCACACGCAUUAUUUGCCUCACCUCGAAUCAUCACCUCGAUGACGCAAGCAAGCGUCAUGCUUCAUACAGCUGACGACUAGACAGGAUCUGCCUGCACAGCGAGCUGGCAGCUGCUGCUCUAGCUAUGUACAUAUGAAGGAAGGUUUAUUAUUUCGCCAACGCUUACAUUCGUGGACAUCAAAAUGAGUUCGUAGGAUCAUAUGGCCCACCGAUGAUACAGCAGUUGAGACAUUAUUUGAGCAAACUUUUAGGCCGAGACUAUAUAU